UAGCUGCGCUGUGCGCUGCGCAGUUCAUGAGUUCACAUCAAAAUGGCGCUCGCUCACUCGCUGUGCGUAGAACGUAGUACUUGUGUAAACGUGUAAAUAAAUUGGAGAUAGCAUACAAGAAAACAGAAAGGGUUCGCGGUUCACCUUUUUUGUAACGGUUUCCUCGGCGUCCUUUACAAAGUCCAGUUGAUAUCGUGUCCUGUCCACGUCCAGGGUGGAUCAGACCUGAUCUACAAAAUCUUGGAGCAGCCGCUUUCGUCGUAUGCCAUUAAAAAAAUUAAAACAUGCCCGUUAUUAAAAUUUGGUCAGUAGACCAAACAAUCAAGAAAGCUGUUCCAAUAAUGGACCCAACUUUAAAAAAUAUCAUUGAAAAAGGUGAGUAAAUCUAAAUUAAUUUGACUUUUCGUAAUGAAAUAUUUUUUGUGUAAUUGUAGAAUGUAGUGUAUUGUAGAAUAGACUAUAAUUGGAUACCUACUGUUAAGCAUUAAUGUGCUGACUCAAACCACAUUUAUUUUGCAGUAUGAUGUCAAUUUAAAAAUUUGACGCUUGAAGUUGACAAGAUAGAGCUGAUGCUGAACCCUGGCUGUACCUAGUGGAACUCAGGUUUGGUGCAACAUAGGCCCACGCUAUUUUGAUCAUCCGUCACAUAGAGGGAGAGCAAUACCCAAGAUAUAAUUCAUAAUCCAUUUUCUUCCAGAUGAGGUACCAUCCUAAAUAUAGUAGUUCCAUUUACUAAUCUUAUUAACUUUUUCUUUUCCAGGAACCAUUAACCAGGGUUCAAGUUGCAGAGCUAUCCGAAAUAGCUGCGCCUAACAUUGUAUUUUUAGAUAAUGAAAAUAUAAUUAUAUUACUUGCUGGUAGAAAAAACGAUUGUUAGCGAAACAGAUUCUGCCUACGUCGUUACAACUAUUGAUGGCGGCUUACUGCAACUUGAAUAUGGAAUAUCCAGUGGACUGUCAAAACACAUUAGAAUUUAUACAAAGGUAUAUUUUUAUUAAAAUAAAUCCUAAAGAAGGAAGUCAUAAGUAAUAGUUUUUGAUUUUUAAAAAGCGUUUUUCAAUUAAAAGACAUGUCAAGAUCGCUUAACUUCUUGCAAGUUCUUUCUAAUGCUAAAAAAACUAACUAUAAUUAAUGUCAGUAACAAACAUUUUCAGACAAUUCGUUACUUGAAAUGGUAUAGGUUUCACGCAUUAGAUUCACAUAGGCCUUAUUAACCGAAACUUUUAUAAGACUAAUUCAUAAGAAGUACUUAUGUACAUAAGAUAUAAUUUAUAGUGUCGUAUAUGUCUUCUACUUUUUGUACUCUGUCACAGAAUAAAUAAUAAUAAUAUGCACGUAGACGUGUAUAUACGCGUGUGCUCUAUAAUUUGAGUGUGUGAAAUUCAAU